CCUACGUGGGGCAGCAGUGGGGAAUAUUGCACAAUGGGCGAAAGCCUGACGCAGCGACGCCGCGUGAGGGAUGAAGGUCUUCGGAACGUAAACCUCUGUCAGCAGGGAAGAACGGUCACUGUGCUAAUCAGCAGUGAAUUGACGGGACCUGCAAAGGAAGCACCGACUAACUCCGUGCCAGCAGCCGCGGUAAUACGGAGGGUGCGAGCGUUAAUCGGAAUUACUGGGCGUAAAGCGCUCGUAGGCGGUAUGUCAAGUCAAGGGUGAAAUCCCCGCGCUCAACGUGGGAACUGCCUUUGAAACGGGCAAACUGGAGUGUGUGAGAGGAUAGUGGAAUUCCAGGUGUAGGAGUGAAAUCCGUAGAUAUCUGGAGGAACAUCAGUGGCGAAGGCGACUAUCUGGCACAUAACUGACGCUGAGGAGCGAAAGCGUGGGUAGCAAACAGGAUUAGAUACCCCUGUAGUC
rnacentral:rRNA from 1 species